rnacentral:rRNA from 1 species
CGGGAAAUACCCAGCCGAAAGGUUGGCUAAUGUCCCAUGGUCUCGCAAGAGUAAAGCUCCGGCGGAAUAAGAUUGGCCUUGUCCCUAUCAGCUAGUUGGUGAGGUAAAGGCUUACCAAGGCUUCGACGGGUAGCUGGUCUGAGAGGAUGAUCAGCCACAAUGGGACUGAGACACGGCCCAUACACCUACGGGUGGCAGCAGUUGGGAAUAUUGCGCAAUGGACGACAGUCUGACGCAGCGACGCCGCGUGAAGGAUGAAGGUUUUCGGAUCGUAAACUUCUUUUAUAGGGGAAGAUUGUGACUGUACCCUAUGAAUAAGGGCCUGCUAACUACGUGCCAGCAGCAGCGGUAAUACGUAGGGCCCGAGCGUUGUCCGGAUUUAUUGGGCGUAAAGAGUUCGUAGGUGGUUUUGUAAGUCGGAUUUUAAAUUCCCAGGCUCAACUUGGGUGAUGGAUUCGAAACUACAUAACUUGAGAAUAUCAGGGGUAAGUGGAAUUAGCGGUGUAGCAGUGAAAUGCGUUGAUAUCGCUAAGAACACCAAUGGCGAAGGCAGCUUACUAUGAUUUUUCUGACACUGAGGAACGAAAGCGUGGGGAGCGAACGGGAUUAGAUACCCCGGUAGUCCACGCCGUAAACGAUGCACACUAGGUAUCAGAAGUAUCGACCCUUCUUGUACCGAAGCUAACGCGUUAAGUGUGCCGCCUGGGGAGUACGGCCGCAAGGCUAAAACUCAAAGGAAUUGACGGGGACUCGCACAAGCGGUGGAGCAUGUGGUUUAAUUCGAUGGUACACGAAGAACCUUACCAGGGUUUGACAUCUAGAGAAUCCCCUAGAAACAGGGGAGUGCCCGCAAGGGAGCUCUAAGACAGGUGUUGCACGGUUGUCGUCAGCUCGUGUCGUGAGAUGUGGCCUUAAGUGGUCAAACGAGCGAAACCUAUAUCCUGUGUUGAUUUUCACGGGAGACUGCCUCGGUUUACGGGGAGGAAGGCGUAGACGACGUCAAAUCAGCGUGGCUCUUACACCCUGGGCUACACACAUGCUACAAUGGCAGAUACAAAGAGUUGCAAAGUCGUAAGGCUAAGCUAAUCUCGUAAAAACUGCCUCAGUUCGGAUUGAGGGCUGAAGUUCGCCCUCAUGAAGCUGGAAUCGCUAGUAAUCGUGGGUCAGCUAUACCACGAUGAAUACGUUCUCGAGUCUUGUACACACCGCCCGUCAAGCGAGCCGAGUCGGCGGGGCCCGAAGUACGCAGAUGCGUGCGACGGCCAAGUCGGUAAGGAGCGCUAAGUCGUAACAAGGUA